AUUGAACGCUGGCGGCAUGCCUUACACAUGCAAGUCGAACGGCAGCACGGGAGCAAUCCUGGUGGCGAGUGGCGAACGGGUGAGUAAUAUAUCGGAACGUGCCCAGUCGUGGGGAUAACGUAGCGAAAGCUACGCUAAUACCGCAUACGAUCUAUGGAUGAAAGCGGGGGAUCGCAAGACCUCGCGCGAUUGGAGCGGCCGAUAUCAGAUUAGGUAGUUGGUGAGGUAAAGGCUCGACCAAGCCGACGAUCUGUAGCUGGUCUGAGAGGACGACCAGCCACACUGGGACUGAGACACGGCCCAGACUCCUACGGGAGGCAGCAGUGGGGAAUUUUGGACGAUGGGCGCAAGCCUGAUCCAGCAAUGCCGCGUGCAGGA
rnacentral:rRNA from 1 species